AGAGGUCACACCCGUUCCCAUGCCGAACACGGAAGUUAAGCUCUCUAGCGCCGAUGGUAGUUGGGACUUUGUCCCUGUGAGAGUAGGACGUUGCCAGGC
rnacentral:rRNA from 2 species